rnacentral:misc_RNA from 1 species
GGAUUAAAAAAAAAUAGAAUGAACCCUACUAUGUAAUUAUAGAAAAUGAACUAAUAACCAACCUAUUGCUUCGUAUUGUCGAGAUCCUAACUAAGAAACAGUCACUAUAUGAAUAAAUACAUCUAUCAUAAAUGAGUAAAUCUAUCAUAUACGUGUAGCAACUGCAAUUUUUUCUUUAAAAAAAAAUAGGAUUCUAAGUUGUGAAGCAAAACUAAAGGGGAUGUAGAUAAAAGGAAGGAUGAUAGAAAGAAGGAAGAGAAAUAAGAAAGAUAUAGGAUUCCAAUAUGUA